GGAGGAUCCAGCCUAGGUAAUACAGCGAGACCUCCCUGUCUACAAAAAAAAAACAUUUUUUUUAAAUAGUCAGGUGUGACGGCUCAUGCCCGUAGUUAGUAGCUGGGACCCCAUCUACCCGGGAGGCUGAGUUGGGAGGAUCACUUGAGCCCAGGAGUUCGAUGUUACAAUGAGCUAGGAUUAUGCCACUGCACUACAGCCUGGGCAACAAAAAAAAGUUUAUUAAAAAAAAAAAAAGUCCACCCUCUCCCUGAGCCUUGAGGUUGAGAUCCUGAAGCUGCUCUGAGAAUUCAGUGAGACACAGCAGAUAAAGACCUCUUCAGCAAACACAAGCUGUUCUAAUCACUGUUUAUUUUUUUCCAGCCUAAUGGUUAGAUCUAAGCUUUCAGCAACUGCUGGAGUCAAAACCAGUCACAGUAGCCCAAAACUGUCCCUGUCACACCCCCAUGGGGAUGUGCUUUCUAGGGCCUGGCCCCGUGCUGCUUUCUAGGGCCUGGCCUCCUGCCUAGCAAAGCAGUCAGGAUAAAUGUGUGCACUGUCAGAACCUCCCUUGCAGAGAGGGACAAGUUCCCGGCCCCUCCCUUUGCAAUGAGAUGCUGCUGUGGCUGUUUACGACAAAGCCAGAGGGCAGGGCCCGCUUACAGAGCUGAGAUUACAGCUAACCCACCCCAGACCCUACUAGCUGGGACACCGGGACAUCUAUCAGGUAGGGGUCCCCAGCUAGCUCCAGAAGGGGAAGCUAACACAAGGGGUCUUCCUCCAGCCUCCCCGAGGAGGGGUGGCAUCAGAAUUGGCUAGAAGCCCGAAUUUAAGAAGGCUGCGCUUCCAGCGGUUUGGAAAGCUAAAACUGAGUUAAUCGCCUGGGGGCAAUCCCUCCAGCUCUCCAGGCUUGAGCUUAGGGAAGCUGAGCAUUUGUCCCCUGGAAUCAGGAGGGGAAGCCUGGGAGUCUCACGUGCGGGUUGGAGAAGCUGGUGCCCGCUGUCUGAGUUCCAGACGAAGUUGAGCAAUCGGAACCUAGGCUCCCAGUGGGAAUCCCAGGAACCUCGCCGCCCCAGAGGGAGAAGCUGGCGGCCCGGCGCGAUCCCUGCCUGAGUUUGGGAACCCAGCAGAGCCUGGGUUCAGGAGGAAGAAUUGGAGAGGCUGGUGCCCACCCGCCGCCCAAGUUCUAGGAGCCGUCUGCCCUUUUCUCCACCGUGAAAAGUCAGCGCUGGAGCUUAGAAAAAAAGAGACUAGGAGCUCCGCCGCCCCAGAGCCCACAGCAGAUCUGAGAGAUUGGAGAUAACUUCAAUUGGAUUAUGCCCCUGGUUCCUUAUCCUGACACUUCCUGGAUGAUCCCAUUACAAAUACAUGUGAUGACAUCUGUUGUUUCUUUGGCUCAGAAUCUAACAGUACUUUCUUUUCCUUUGUGGGGUCCCCUCCACUACUCCAGAUGCACAUGUGUCUAACACCCCUUCCCAGUCCCACGUGAGCUGGACUCUAAUCAAAGGGCCCCUAUCCCCUGGCCACAAUAAUUAGGUAUGGGUUGAGAAGGUGACAUUGGAGGUUCUCACUCUACUUCUGGGGUUAUGAGCCACAGGGGGCUCAUUCUGCCUGCAGCCACUUUCCCCAG
rnacentral:lncRNA from 1 species